AUUGCCCCAGUAACGGCGAGUGAAGCGGCAACAGCUCAAAUUUGAAAUCUGGCUCUUUCGGGGUCCGAGUUGUAAUUUGCAGAGGGUGGUUUGGGUUGGCGGCGGUCUAAGUUCCUUGGAACAGGACAUCGCAGAGAGUGAGAAUCCCGUAUGUGGUCGCCUGCCUUCGCCGUGUAAAGCCCCUUCGACGAGUCGAGUUGUUUGGGAAUGCAGCUCUAGAUGGGAGGUAAAUUUCUUCUAAAGCUAAAUACCGGCCAGAGACCGAUAGCGCACAGAUAGAGAGAUCAAAAGAUGAAAAGCACUUUGGAAAGAGAGUCAAACAACACGUGAAAUUGUUAAAAGGGAAGCGCUUGCAGGCGGACUUGCCUGUAGUUGCUCGCCUGGCUUUUGCCCGGGGCACUCUUCUGCGGCAGGCCAGCUCAGUUUGGGCGGUCGGAUAAAGGCCCUGACCCGUAUCUCCCUUCGGGGUUAACAUAUAGGGGGGACGAAUGCAACCAGCCUGGACUGAGGUCCGCACAUCUGCUAAGAUGCUGGCGUAAUGGCUGUAAGCGGCCCGUCUUGAAACACGGACCAAGGAGUCUAACGUCUAUGCGAGUGUUUGGGUGUCAAGCCCGAGCGCGUAAUGAAAGUGAACGGAGGUGGGAACCCCUCGGAGCGCACCAUCGACCGAUCCUGAUGUCUUCGGAUGGAUUUGAGUAAGAGCAUAACUGUUGGAACCCGGAAGAUGGUGAACUAUGCUUGAAUAAGUGAAGCCAGAGGAAACUCUGGUGGAGACUCGCAACGGUUCUGACAUGCAAAUCGAUCGUCAAGUUUGAGCAUAGGGGCGAAAGACUAAUCGAUCUCUGCUAGAAGCUG
rnacentral:rRNA from 1 species